ACGGGUGAGUAACACGUGGGUGAUCUGCCCUGCACUUCGGGAUAAGCCUGGGAAACUGGGUCUAAUACCGGAUAUGACCUCCUAUCGCAUGGUGGGUGGUGGAAAGAUUUAUCGGUGCAGGAUGGGCCCGCGGCCUAUCAGCUUGUUGGUGGGGUAAUGGCCUACCAAGGCGACGACGGGUAGCCGACCUGAGAGGGUGACCGGCCACACUGGGACUGAGACACGGCCCAGACUCCUACGGGAGGCAGCAGUGGGGAAUAUUGCACAAUGGGCGAAAGCCUGAUGCAGCGACGCCGCGUGAGGGAUGACGGCCUUCGGGUUGUAAACCUCUUUCAGCAGGGACGAAGCGCAAGUGACGGUACCUGCAGAAGAAGCACCGGCUAACUACGUGCCGGCAGCCGCGGUAAUACGUAGGGUGCAAGCGUUGUCCGGAAUUACUGGGCGUAAAGAGUUCGUAGGCGGUUUGUCGCGUCGUUUGUGAAAACCAGCAGCUCAACUGCUGGCUUGCAGGCGAUACGGGCAGACUUGAGUACUGCAGGGGAGACUGGAAUUCCUGGUGUAGCGGUGAAAUGCGCAGA
rnacentral:rRNA from 1 species